UAAGACAGAGGUGCCGAGCGUUAGGCGGAAUCACUGGGCUUAAAGCGUGUGUAGGCGGACCGUUAAGUACCUUGUGAAAUCCCACGGCUCACCCGUGGAACGGCUGGGUAUACUGGCGGUCUUGGGCCACCUAGGGGCAGAUGGAACAGACGGUGGAGCGGUGAAAUGCGUAGAUAUCGUCUGGAACGCCGACGGUGAAAACAGUCUGCUGGGGGUGUGCCGACGCUGAGACACGAAAGCCAGGGGAGCGAACGGGAUUAGAUACCCCGGUAGUCCUGGCCCUAAACGAUGUCGACUGGAUCGUAGUGCCUCUGACGGUAUUACGGUCGUAGCAAAAGUGCUAAGUCGACCGCCUGGGAAGUACGGUCGCAAGGCUA
rnacentral:rRNA from 1 species